rnacentral:rRNA from 1 species
UACGGGGGGAGCAAGCGUUGUUCGGAUUUACUGGGCGUAAAGGGCGCGUAGGCGGCCUCCGCAAGUCGACUGUGAAAUCUCCGGGCUUAACCCGGAAAGGUCAGCCGAAACUGCGGGGCUAGAGUGCAGAAGGGGCAACUGGAAUUCUCGGUGUAGUGGUGAAAUGCGUAGAUAUCGAGAGGAACACCUGCGGCGAAGGCGGGUUGCUGGGCUGACACUGACGCUGAAGCGCGAAAGCUAGGGGAGCGAACGGG